rnacentral:rRNA from 1 species
GAUGAACGCUGGCGGCGUGCCUAAUACAUGCAAGUCGAGCGAACGGACGAGAAGCUUGCUUCUCUGAUGUUAGCGGCGGACGGGUGAGUAACACGUGGAUAACCUACCUAUAAGACUGGGAUAACUUCGGGAAACCGUAGCUAAUACCGGAUAAUAUUUUGAACCGCAUGGUUCAAAAGUGAAAGACGGUCUUGCUGUCACUUAUAGAUGGAUCCGCGCUGCAUUAUCUAGUUGGUAAGGUAACGGCUUACCAAGGCAACGAUGCAUAGCCGACCUGAGAGGGUGAUCGGCCACACUGGAACUGAGACACGGUCCAGACUCCUACGGGAGGCAGCAGUAGGGAAUCUUCCGCAAUGGGCGAAAGCCUGACGGGGCAACGCCGCGUGAGUGAUGAAGGUCUUCGGAUCGUAAAACUCUGUUAUUAGGGAAGAACAUAUGUGUAAGUAACUGUGCACAUCUUGACGGUACCUAAUCAGAAAGCCACGGCUAACUACGUG